rnacentral:rRNA from 1 species
AUUGAACGCUGGCGGAAUGCUUUACACAUGCAAGUCGAACGGCAGCACGGGGGCAGCCCUGGUGGCGAGUGGCGAACGGGUGAGUAAUACAUCGGAACGUGCCCGGUCGUGGGGGAUAACGUAGCGAAAGUUACGCUAAUACCGCAUACGAUCUGAGGAUGAAAGCGGGGGACCUUCGGGCCUCGCGCGAUCGGAGCGGCCGAUGUCAGAUUAAGUAGUUGGUGGGGUAAAGGCCUACCAAGCCGACGAUCUGUAGCUGGUCUGAGAGGACGACCAGCCACACUGGGACUGAGACACGGCCCAGACUCCUACGGGAGGCAGCAGUGGGGAAUUUUGGACAAUGGGCGCAAGCCUGAUCCAGCCAUUCCGCGUGCAGGACGAAGGCCUUCGGGUUGUAAACUGCUUUUGUACGGAACGAAAAGGCUCUGGCUAAUACCUGGGGCUCAUGACGGUACCGUAAGAAUAAGCACCGGCUAACUACGUG